GGUGUCCCGGCCGCCGGAUGCGCGGUAUUUUUAGCAGAAAACAGCGUCUGAAGCCACGGUUCUCUUGGUAUUGCGACGUGUGCCGAGCGACCAGACGUGCCCUCUGCGUGCUGAGCUGCAGCGUGGGACGUACCGUAUUUGCAAAACAGAGCUUGGCGCGUCUGCAUCACUCACUGCUGUGGAAAGAGUCGUCAGGAUGAUGUAUUGAAGCACGGCCAUCUCCAUUAUGGCUUGCAUCAGACUGGAGCAUCUUGACCCAGAGAAAGAGAAUCAGGUGGUAAAGAAAGGACGGCUCCUUUCGUGGGGGAUUUGAGGACUCGAAGGUGAUUCUGUUGCGGGCGCUGUGUUACCUGCGCAUCCCCGACCCUUGGGCACCGGGAUCCCUCCGUGGUCUCGCAGGGCACCCAGGAGUUCUGCUCUCUGUGGAGGUAAACACGCACCAUUAGGAGCCCCAGCAGAGGUCUUCAGAGCAUCAGUGCCGCCGUGCUGAAGGGUCUCUGCACGGGAAUGUGUAAAGGGAGCCUUGUCUCAGAAGUGGUCCCUGCUUUUGUCAAGGUUCCGCGUUCUGCUUCGUUUCAAAGCCAGGAGGAGGAGGGAUGCUGGCUGUGUGCUGGGCGUGCCCCGGGGUCUCCCCGACGGACAGCGCCGCUCGGCGUGCACCUGGAUCCCGCUGCACGGAGCCGGCUGCUGCUGCUGAGGCUGCCCUCGGGUGUCAGAGCGGGAGGGGACCGAUGUCCCAAGCAUUACACGUGCUAUCAUUCCGUAGUGUAAGUCCUAAGUAAACUCAGAGAGGAGAAAUAUGAAGACAAUCCAAAAUCUGAAGACUGUGUGUUAAGUGGUUGUUUUUCAGGUGUUUUCUAGGCUGAAAGGAGGACAGCCGCUGCUCCCAGAUUGCAGCUGGAUCCCUGAAAGAAAGCAAAAGCACGGGCUGUGCUCAGAGCAAUCCGGAAUGCUCGGAAGUGAACUAAGGCGACGUGGAGCACCGCUAUGGAGAGUGGCCCCGCGGGACCCCGUGGGACACAGCCCGGCGGCAAUGACAACAUCUGCCCCUGGUCCCAUACUCAUCCUUAAAUGUAAAUUAAGAGUCCAGAAGCGCCCGCUCAAAUAUGAAAAUGUUGAGCAGUCGCUUCAUUCGGCAAGGCAGCAUUCGCCACCUAGAGAGCCACGCGAGAAAUGCAGGGAAACGCGUGAGCGCGGACACGGGCAGGUGCAACCGGCACGGCCCCGGCACCGCCACCGCCUGGGGACGAGGGGCGGCCGUGGGCAACGCUUCUGCUCUGCUGGCAAGGCCGGUCAUGUACCACUGGAAGAGAACGGGGGGGCACCAGCGAGUCCUGCCGAGGACAGGGUGCUGUCCCGUCGCCUGUCGAUGCCCACGCAGCAGAGCAGGUGCACGCAGAGCGGUGCUUGGAACCCACCGGGUGGCUGAGCUGAUGCUGCUUGUUCCUGAAGAAGCAAUGGGCGUACCUGGCCUUGGUUUUAAUCCUGUCGGUGAGAAAUUCCUUACCUCUCAUGGAGCAGAGUGAUAAAGAUAAUGAUGCUCUGUCUCUUGAGGUCUGGGAGCAAGGCGUGGGCAUCAGCCCUGGGCAGCCCAUGGUGGGGGAACCUGGGGGGCAGCACGGGGGGGCAGGGGCCGUGCCACCGCAACUGAGCGAGGUUCAGCUCGGGCUGUGAAGAACGUGAUGCUGGAGCUGUUUGCUCAAUAAUCUCCACUUGCUGGUAGCUGGUUUUAUCCUGAUGCUUCUCUUUCAUUCUCGUCUAUCCCUGUCCUUUUCCUACGAUCUUGAAAAGCAGAUUAACCAUCGCCGAAAUGCCGGGUCCAGAAAUGAAAACAAGAAAUGUUUAUUUCUACAGUGAUAGCACGUGUCCUGACGGCAGACUCAGCCCAGCCACAACUACAGCGCAUGCAGCAGUAAUUUACUCAAUCAUUCUGCCUCAUUUUCUUGUCCUGAGUUGCCAGCAUUCACGAUUCUCUUCAUCACAAUGUAAUUUUUGCAGACAAUUCUUGAUCUGAAGUUCAUUUGUAGUUCAUCUUCAGAAUUAAUUUCUUUUUGUCGGACACAUUAAUGGUGUAUUACUUGUAAUUCUUCUAAUGAGGCUUCCAGCAUGAACACUUGCAUUUGCAAAUUCAAAAUAGGUUUUAGGAAAAUGCUCCCCACCUGUUUAAAAUUGAUUUCCAAAAAUGUCCCAGUGAAUUGCUAAAUAUUCAUGAGGAAUGGAUAUAAAAUACCUCUGAGCAAACAGAGAUGCCAUCAGCAGCAUGGUGGGGAGCCGCUUCAGGCAGCAGGUGUGGGGAGCUGGGGGCUGAGGGCCUGGCCGCUGCUGUCCUGCCCAGGAGCCCCAUCUCAGCCCACUGCAGCCCAGUAGCGUGAUUCUUCUGGUCUUUCCUCAACUGGUGCUAUAUGUAAUUCCUCCAUUUUUAUUACAAAGCGGUCACAGUUAGUUGGAUCGGAUGUGUAAGAGCUCAAGAUUGCGACUCUUUGGUUCACCUCGUGUGGUCUUUUCUCUGUUUCUGGUUUCAGUUCAGUGACAUAACAAGCAGAAGGAAGGCUGCCUAUAAACCUGCUUUACUAGGACACAAAUAAAUACUGAUUCCUUUGUUCUCUGGAUAAAAGGGAAGUGUACAGGCUGUGAAAGAUGCCGGCUGGGUCUAGGUCUUUCUUCUUGCUCCUGUCUCACUGCCCAGCCCCACGGAUGGGAGUGGGGAGGUACAGGCAGUGGCUGGGAGCUCCCUGUGCACCUGUAGCUGGCCCUGCUGCCGGGGGCUCCCAGCUUCCCUGCCGGUUUUGCAUCCAUCCACUUUUGCACAACUUAAGAUUUCAUGGUUUCUGGAAUACUGCUUCUUUUUGUGGAUUUCCUUUUCUUGCUCUGUGACUUGCAUGACGUGCCGUAAAGCUCUGCCAUCAGCAACUCCUGACGAGCCUGCAGAGUUCCCUGUUUGACAAACUGUUCCCAAGUGCACCUGGUGAGUACUCUUCCCUUCCUUAGUUUUCCCAAUAACAUGCUAACUCUUGGCAGACUCAUUUUUAAAUGACUUUAAUCUUUGUCUAUAAUUUCUCAUAAAAAUAUUCUGACAUUGAUUUUUAAGCCAUGCUGCCAGAGAUGUGGACUCCCCUGUAUUUAAUGAAUUGUGAGGUAAUGAAUGUCACUACUUCUCUAUUGAAUCUUCUUUCUUGAUUUGAGUUCAAAAUUAGAACGAAUAAUCCCUCAGUCAAGAACACGGAGAUACUAGACAAUAACAUUUUUGUGGCUGCAUUGACAGCAAAAUUGUUUGCUGCUCAGUAGGGAUGUCAGCAGCAGAACUGGGGUUACUUUUGUCAGAGCCUCCACCAAAUUUCUCUCACCUAUGUGCCUGCCUGAGAAUAACGGCCUUAUUUACAACACAUGGCCCACAACACCACCUCCUGUGGGCGCAGUGCCCCUGGAGACCAAAGGCAAAGUUCUCAUUAAGACCCGAUCCAACGUCCUGGCCCCAGGGAACGAGGGGUUACCGGCUGCAUCCACACCUCCCCAAGAGCCGCCCAGCAUGCGGUCAUCAACACAGCAGUGUCUUUGGCUCUUGUAUGGGAACUGCUGAGUCACGGC